rnacentral:rRNA from 1 species
UCCGUAGGCGGACUAUUAAGUCAGGGGUGAAAGUCUGCAGCUCAACUGUAGAAUUGCCUUUGAUACUGGUAGUCUUGAGUUAUGGUGAAGUGGCUAGAAUAUGUAGUGUAGCGGUGAAAUGCAUAGAUAUUACAUAGAAUACCGAUUGCGAAGGCAGGUCACUAACCAUACACUGACGCUGAUGGACGAAAGCGUGGGGAGCGAACAGGAUUAGAUACCCUGGUAGUCC